GACGAACGCUGGCGGCGUGCUUAACACAUGCAAGUCGAACGGAAAGGCCCUGCUUGUUUGGUGUGCUCGAGUGGCGAACGGGUGAGUAACACGUGUGUAACCUGCCCUUGACUUUGGUAUAACUUCAGGAAACUGGGGCUAAUACCGUAUAGCAUCUGCUGCUGCAUUGUGGGCGUUGGAAAGUUUCGGCGGUUGGGGAUGGAGUCGCGGCUUAUCAGCUUGUUGGUGGGGUAGUGGCUUACCAAGGCUGUGACGGGUAGCCAGACUGGGAGGGUGACCGGGCACAUUGGGAUUGGGGAGGGAGCCAGAGGGAUAAGGGAGGAAGGGGUGGGGACUAUAGCAAAAUGGGCGGAAGGCGGAAGGAGGGACGCCGGGUGGGGGAGGACGGCCUUGGGGAAGGAAACCGAUUUCGUUAAUGACGAAGCGUGAGUGACGGUAAUGGAUAAAGAAGCACCGCCAAACUAGUU
rnacentral:rRNA from 1 species